rnacentral:misc_RNA from 1 species
GUCAAGCUCCGCCGCCUCUCACAGCAACGAACUACGACUCCUAGAGACCGCGAUCCAGACUUCGAGUGCUCCUGCUACGUUCAUCAAUGGCGUUUCCUUAUCUGGAAUCGGUUGUAGGUUUUAUGGUUUUAGUUUACUUUUUUGAGACGUAUCUUGACAUUCGGCAGCAUAGAUCCCUCAAAUUGCCUACUCUACCUAAAGCUUUGCAAGGAAUUAUCAGUGAAGAAAAAUUUGAGAAGUCUAGAGCUUAUAGUCUUGAUAAA